GUAGGGAAUAUUGGGCAAUGGAUGCAAGUCUGACCCAGCCAUCCCGCGUGCCGGAAGAAGGCCCUCAGGGUUGUAAACGGCUUUUGACGGUGAAGAAUCGACAGGAUGCGUCCUGUUUUGACGGUAGCCGUUGAAUAAGCACCGGCUAACUCCGUGCCAGCAGCCGCGGUAAUACGGAGGGUGCGAGCGUUGUCCGGAUUUAUUGGGUUUAAAGGGUGCGUAGGCUGGAAGGUCAGUCAGCGGUGAAAAGCUGUCGCUUAACGAUAGUCUUGCCGCAGAUACUUCCUUUCUUGGAUGAGGAGGAGGCCACUGGAACGGAUGGUGUAGCGGUGAAAUGCAUAGAUAUCAUCCAGAACACCGAUUGCGAAGGCAGGUGGCUGUACCUUAAUCGACGCUGAUGCACGAAAGCAUGGGGAGCAAACAGGAUUAGAAACCCUAGUAGACC
rnacentral:rRNA from 1 species